AAAAAAUCUGUUUGUUGGUCGCUGAUGUGGCAGACAGAAUUCCUAGUUGGCAUCUGAUAGCCAUUAACUUGGGAGAAAAAUCCCAUCUUCUACGUAUUCAGCAAAAAUCUUGCUAAAACACGAUAUUGUCCCAUUAGCUUUAAUAAAAAAAGGAGAGGGAGGGAUGUUGCCCCAUCAGCAAAAAAAUCAAUUUUAAUGUCAGUCCAAAUGUCCCCCCUCCCUUUCUUCACUGAUAGCUCCUUGCUACCGUGUCGCCGGACAAAAACCAAAGUCCAGAAAUGUUCUUCCUCCUCGACUACCCACCCCACGCCCACAAAAAACCAAAACCCACCACCCUACAGCCACGUCCAAACACAAACUAAAAUCAUCAAAAUUAUAUUCUUUGCAAUUGGAAAAGAGUUGAAUUGAAAAAAGGAAAGUGGUCGAUGGCGAGGUAAGUGACGAUUAAGAGGUGAAUUUCGUUUGUAAUAGCAGCAAAAUAGUGGUGGAUUGUAAUGUUUCUAUGUCUAGCAAGAUAGAUAAAGCGGGUGGAUGAAUUUUUUGGGUUCAGAUUGUGGUUGAUUGCAGCGGCAGACGAUAGUGGUAGUAGAUUGUGGUUUGAAUUUACUAUGUUUGGGCGGUUGACUUUUGGAUAGCUGAUGGUGGUGAAUAUGUGGUGUUGUGUUACUUAUGUAGGUUGGCGGUUGACGAGGGAGGCCGGCAACAAGUUGAGUUUACCAGAGGUAUAGUGUAGUUGGGUGUCGAUGGAUGUUGGUUUAGGUCUAUUGAUUAUUUUGGUAGAGGACGUCCAUGGUGGCGACGUCGGAGUCAGAGUCGGAGUCAGGUAUGAUAGUGGUGGUGUUUAUAGGAGAUGGGUUGGUUUAGGGUUAGAGUAAUUGGUCUAGCAAAAUCAGCGAUUAGGCUGUUGACCGGAGUAGUUUCUGUGGCAAUGGCGCUUCGAGAAGCAUUUUCAGAUUACAAAAAUCGUUCUCCCCUUUUUCUCCCAAGUUAACGACCGUCAGAUGCCAACUAGGAAUUUCGUUCGCCACGUCAACAACCAACAAACGGAUUUUUUGAUGGUGGAAGAUGGAGAGCUAAAUGGUAAAGUUCAGUGUGUACUGUGAAGCAUAGUGAAGUUUAGUGUGCAAUCUGUGACCAUGGUAUAACUUCAGUGAUUUUUGAAACAAUUCACUCCUCAUUUUCCUUCUAUCAUCGAUUUUCCAAUUCAUUUUUCCUCUCCAAGAUUCGACCUUUCACUCUUCUCUCCCAAACACUCUAAACCGUGAUUUUUUGUUAGCCUUUUUUGGUGUUUUAUCAAAUAUUUGUGCUCUGUAUAAGAUUCUUCUAUUUUUGAACUUCUUGAGGAGAUAGAUACCAGCUAUUGGCACAUAGCUAUAGCAAAAAAUUAGCAUCUUCGAGUGGCUUUCAACGUGUAGAAUAAUCGAA
rnacentral:lncRNA from 1 species